rnacentral:rRNA from 1 species
CCUACGGGUGGCAGCAGUGGGGAAUAUUGCACAAUGGGGGGAACCCUGAUGCAGCGACGCCGCGUGGGUGAAGGAGCACCUCGGUGCGUAAAGCCCUAUCGGCAGGGAAGAAACAGACGGUACCUGACUAAGAAGCCCCGGCUAACUACGUGCCAGCAGCCGCGGUAAUACGUAGGGGGCAAGCGUUAUCCGGAUUCACUGGGUGUAAAGGGAGCGUAGACGGCGACGCAAGUCUGGAGUGAAAGCCCGGGGCCCAACCCCGGGACUGCUCUGGAAACUGCGGCGCUGGAGUACGGGAGGGGCAGGCGGAAUUCCUGGUGUAGCGGUGAAAUGCGUAGAUAUCAGGAGGAACACCGGCGGCGAAGGCGGCCUGCUGGACCGUGACUGACGUUGAGGCUCGAGAGCGUGGGGAGCAAACAGGAUUAGAUACCCUUGUAGUC